rnacentral:rRNA from 1 species
CAGCCGCCGCGGUAAUACGGAGGGUGCAAGCGUUAUUCGGAUUUAUUGGGUUUAAGGGUCCGUAGGCGGACUUAUAAGUCAGUGGUGAAAGCCUGUCGCUUAACGAUAGAACUGCCAUUGAUACUGUAAGUCUUGAGUAUAUUUGAGGUAGCUGGAAUAAGUAGUGUAGCGGUGAAAUGCAUAGAUAUUACUUAGAACACCAAUUGCGAAGGCAGGUUACCAAGAUAUAACUGACGCUGAGGGACGAAAGCGUGGGUAGCGAACAGGAUUAGAGACCCCUGUAGUCCCUGUCUCUUAUACA